rnacentral:tRNA from 1 species
UGGGGCGUCGCCAAGCGGUAAGGCAUCGGGUUUUGAUCCCGCUAUUCGGAGGUUCGAAUCCUUCCGUCCCAG